GAUGAACGCUGGCGGCGUGCCUAAUACAUGCAAGUCGAGCGAACAGACGAGGAGCUUGCUCCUCUGACGUUAGCGGCGGACGGGUGAGUAACACGUGGAUAACCUACCUAUAAGACCGGGAUAACUUCGGGAAACCGGAGCUAAUACCGGAUAACAUGUUGAACCGCAUGGUUCAACAGUGAAAGACGGUCUUGCUGUCACUUAUAGAUGGAUCCGCGCCGCAUUAGCUAGUUGGUAAGGUAACGGCUUACCAAGGCAACGAUGCGUAGCCGACCUGAGAGGGUGAUCGGCCACACUGGAACUGAGACACGGUCCAGACUCCUACGGGAGGCAGCAGUAGGGAAUCUUCCGCAAUGGGCGAAAGCCUGACGGAGCAACGCCGCGUGAGUGAUGAAGGUCUUCGGAUCGUAAAACUCUGUUAUUAGGGAAGAACAAAUGUGUAAGUAACUAUGCACGUCUUGACGGUACCUAAUCAGAAAGCCACGGCUAACUACGUG
rnacentral:rRNA from 1 species